UUGCUUCAGCAGCACAUAUACUAAAAUUGGAAUGACACAGAGAAGAUUAGCAUGUCCCCUGCGCAAGGAUGACAUGCAAAUUCAUGAAGUGUUCCAUAUUAAA
rnacentral:snRNA from 1 species